rnacentral:rRNA from 1 species
UUGACAUCCAGAGAACUUAGCAGAGAUGCUUUGGUGCCUUCGGGAACUCUGAGACAGGUGCUGCAUGGCUGUCGUCAGCUCGUGUUGUGAAAUGUUGGGUUAAGUCCGCAACGAGCGCAACCCUUUAUCCUUUGUUGCCAGCGGUUCGGCCGGGAACUCAAAGGAGACUGCCGGUGAUAAACCGGAGGAAGGUGGGGAUGACGUCAAGUCAUCAUGGCCCUUACGGCCAGGGCUACACACGUGCUACAAUGGCGCAUACAAAGAGAAGCGACCUCGCGAGAGCAAGCGGACCUCAUAAAGUGCGUCGUAGUCCGGAUUGGAGUCUGCAACUCGACUCCAUGAAGUCGGAAUCGCUAGUAAUCGUAGAUCAGAAUGCUACGGUGAAUACGUUCCCGGGCCUUGUACACACCGCCCGUCACACCAUGGGAGUGGGUUGCAAAAGAAGUAGGUAGCUUAACCUUCGGGAGGGCGCUUACCACUUUGUGAUUCAUGACUGGGGUGAAGUCGUAACAAGGUAGGCGUACGUGU